UACAGAGGGUGCGAGCGUUAAUCGGAAUUACUGGGCGUAAAGCGCGCGUAGGCGGCUUUGCAAGUCGGGUGUGAAAUCCCCAGGCUUAACCUGGGAACUGCAUUCGAGACUGCAUUGCUAGAGUAUGGGAGAGGGAAGUGGAAUUUCCGGUGUAGCGGUGAAAUGCGUAGAUAUCGGAAGGAACAUCAGUGGCGAAAGCGGCUCUCUGGGACGGUACUGACGCUGAGGAGCGAAAGCCAGGGGAGCAAACGGG
rnacentral:rRNA from 1 species